CACGUAGGGGGCAAGCGUUGUCCGGAUUUAUUGGGCGUAAAGAGCUCGUAGGCGGCUCAGUAAGUCAGGUGUGAAACCUCCAGGCUCAACCUGGAGACGCCACCUGAUACUGCUGUGGCUAGAGUCCGGUAGGGGAGCGUGGAAUUCCUGGUGUAGCGGUGAAAUGCACAGAUAUCAGGAGGAACACCAGCGGCGAAGGCGGCGCUCUGGGCCGGAACUGACGCUGAGGAGCGAAAGCGUGGGUAGCAAACAGG
rnacentral:rRNA from 1 species